AGUGAACGCUGGCGGUAGGCCUAACACAUGCAAGUCGAACGGCAGCACAGUAAGAGCUUGCUCUUACGGGUGGCGAGUGGCGGACGGGUGAGGAAUACAUCGGAAUCUACUUUUUCGUGGGGGAUAACGUAGGGAAACUUACGCUAAUACCGCAUACGACCUGCGGGUGAAAGCAGGGGAUCUUCGGACCUUGCGCGAUUGAAUGAGCCGAUGUCGGAUUAGCUAGUUGGCGGGGUAAAGGCCCACCAAGGCGACGAUCCGUAGCUGGUCUGAGAGGAUGAUCAGCCACACUGGAACUGAGACACGGUCCAGACUCCUACGGGAGACAGCAGUGGGGAAUAUUGGACAAUGGGCGCAAGCCUGAUCCAGCCAUACCGCGUGGGUGAAGAAGGCCUUCGGGUUGUAAAGCCCUUUUGUUGGGAAAGAAAAGCAGCAGGUUAAUACCCCGCUGUUCUGACGGUACCCAAAGAAUAAGCACCGGCUAACUUCGUG
rnacentral:rRNA from 1 species